AACCAUUCUCACCUGCGGCUAGACCUGCGGAAGGAUCAUUACCGAGUUUACAACUCCCAAACCCCUGUGAACAUACCAAUUGUUGCCUCGGCGGAUCAGCCCGCUCCCGGUAAAACGGGGCGGCCCGCCAGAGGACUCCUAAACUCUGUUUCUAUAUGUAACUUCUGAGUAAAACCAUAAAUAAAUCAAAACUUUCAACAACGGAUCU
rnacentral:misc_RNA from 1 species